rnacentral:rRNA from 1 species
CCUACGGGUGGCAGCAGUAGGGAAUCUUCCACAAUGGGCGAAAGCCUGAUGGAGCAACGCAGCGUGGGUGAAGAAGGCCUUCGGAUCGUAAAACCCUGUUGUUAGAGAAGAAAGUGAGUGAGAGUAACCGUUUACGUAUCGACGGUAUCUAACAAGAAAGCCACGGCUAACUACGUGACAGCAGCCGCGGGAAUACGUAGGUGGCAAGCGUUAUUCGGAUUUAUUGGGCGUAAAGGGAACGUAGGUGGUCUGUUAAGUCUGAUGUGAAAGCCUUCGGCUUAACAGGAGUAGUGCAUUGGAGACUGGCAGUCGUGAGUACAGAUGAGGUAGGUGGAACUCCAGGUGUAGCGGUGAAAUGCGUAGAUAUAUCGAAGAACUCCGGUUGCGAAAGCGGUUCUCUAGUCUGUCACUGACACUGAGGUUCGAAAGCGUGGGUAGCAAACAGGAUUAGAUACCCUGGUAGUC